rnacentral:sRNA from 1 species
GUUUCUUUCGGAGCGGCGGUGAAGGGCCCGGGUGAAGCAGGGGUGGCUGGUGCUUGCCGCGUCUCAUGGCUGCGUCCGGAAAACUCAGCACUUGGCGUCUGCCGCCGUUGCCCACGAUUCGAGAAAUCAUUAAGUUGUUAAGACUGCAAGCAGCGAAGCAGCUAUCACAGAAUUUCCUCCUGGACUUGAGGCUGACAGAUGGAGUUUCGCUCUUGUUGCCCAAGCUGGAGUGCAAUAGCAUGAUCUCGGCUCACUGCAACCUCCGCCUCCCCAGUUCAAGUGAUUCUCGUGUCUUAGCCUCCUAGAUAAAAUUGUAAGGAAAGCUGGCAAUCUGACAAAUGCUUAUGUUUACGAAGUGGGCCCUGGGCCAGGGGGAAUCACAAGAUCUAUUCUUAAUGCCGAUGUCGCUGAACUUCUGGUGGUUGAAAAGGACACUCGAUUUAUUCCUGGAUUACAGAUGCUUUCUGAUGCAGCACCUGGGAAACUGAGAAUUGUUCAUGGAGAUGUCUUGACAUUUAAGGUAGAAAAGGCUUUUUCAGAAAGUCUUAAAAGACCCUGGGAAGAUGAUCCUCCAGAUGUACAUAUUAUUG